rnacentral:misc_RNA from 1 species
AUUAAUCUCAUUGGUAGGUUCCAGAGCUUAUAUAUGAUCAAAUAAAAUGAGACUACACUCAAAGUUGAGAGUAAACGUGUCACAACACAUUGCAUGCCAGCCAGACCUUUGAAGGGGCUGAAAAUUCGUGAAAGUUCCUUCAUAAUUUUUGGCGGUCACUGCCCACCAAGGAAUAACAGGGUUUAGCAUAGUGUUUUUGACCUGUGAUUGAAGGACUGAUGCUUAUUUAUUUUGUUUCGUAUUCCUAUCUUCUUUAAUCUCUCAUUUGAACUUUAUCUGAACAACAGAAUAAAUCAGUACAGAAAUGCAGUUGUAAGAUUGAUAGUUCUUCUGUGCAUUAAUUUGUGAAGUCAUAAAUCUGUUCUAAAUUCUAUAUUACUUGGUGAAUUGAGAUAUUUCUUGUGCAUUAAGU